rnacentral:rRNA from 1 species
AUUGAACGCUGGCGGCAUGCUUUACACAUGCAAGUCGAACGGUAACAGGCCGCAAGGUGCUGACGAGUGGCGAACGGGUGAGUAAUGCAUCGGAACGUGCCCAGUCGUGGGGGAUAACUACUCGAAAGAGUAGCUAAUACCGCAUACGAUCUAUGGAUGAAAGCGGGGGUCCGUAAGGCCUCGCGCGAUUGGAGCGGCCGAUGUCAGAUUAGGUAGUUGGUGGGGUAAAGGCUCACCAAGCCAACGAUCUGUAGCUGGUCUGAGAGGACGACCAGCCACACUGGGACUGAGACACGGCCCAGACUCCUACGGGAGGCAGCAGUGGGGAAUUUUGGACAAUGGGCGCAAGCCUGAUCCAGCAAUGCCGCGUGCAGGAAGAAGGCCUUCGGGUUGUAAACUGCCUUUGUACGGAACGAAACGGCUCUGGUUAAUACCCGGGGCUAAUGACGGUACCGUAAGAAUAAGCACCGGCUAACUACGUG